GAUGAACGCUGACAGAAUGCUUAACACAUGCAAGUCUACUUGAACUUCGGUUUGGGUGGCGGACGGGUGAGUAACGCGUAAAGAACUUGCCUCACAGAUAGGGACAACAUUUGGAAACGAAUGCUAAUACCUGAUAUUAUGAUUUUAGGGCAUCCUAGAAUUAUGAAAGCUAUAUGCACUGUGAGAGAGCUUUGCGUCCCAUUAGCUAGUUGGAGAGGUAACGGCUCACCAAGGCGAUGAUGGGUAGCCGGCCUGAGAGGGUGAUCGGCCACAAGGGGAAUGAGACAACACCCUUACGCCUACGGGAGGAAGCAGUGGGGAAUAUUGGACAAUGUACCAAGAGUCUGAUCCAGCAAUUCGGUGUAAAAAAUGAAGUUUUUCGGAAAGAAAAGUGCUUUCAGUUGGGAAGAAAAAAAUGACGGUACCAACAGAAGAAGUGACGGCUAAAUACGUG
rnacentral:rRNA from 1 species